UCUAUACUGACUGCCAGGUGUAAAGGGCGGAGCUUAUAACAAUGAUUGACAGGGAGCUAAGAUGGAGGCGGCUCUCUCUUUACUGACUGCCAGGUGUAAAGGGCGGAGCUUAUAACAAUGAUUGACAGGGAGCUAAGAUGGAGGCGGCUCUCUCUAUACUGACUGCCAGGUGUAAAGGGCGGAGCUUAUAACAAUGAUUGACAGGGAGCUAAGAUGGAGGCGGCUCUCUCUAUACUGACUGCCAGGUGUAAUGGGCGGAGCUUAUAACAAUGAUUGACAGGGAGCUAAGUUGGAGGUGGCUCUCUCUAUACUGACUGCCAGGUGUAAAGGGCGGAGCUUAUAAC